rnacentral:rRNA from 1 species
AACGAACGCUGGCGGCAUGCCUAACACCUGCAAGUCGAACCGUGGCGCACGGGUGCGUAACGCGUGGGAAUCUGCCCUUAGGUUCGGAAUAAAAGCUGGAAACGGCUUAUAAUACCGGAUGCCUGAGGAUGAGCCCGCGUUGGAUUAGGUAGUGGGUGGGGUAAAGGCCGACCAAGCCGACGAUCCCUAGCUGGUCUGAGAGGAUGACCAGCCACACUGUAACUGAGACACGGUCCAGACUCCUACGGGAGGCAGCAGUGGGGAAUAUUGCACAAUGGGCGCAAGCCUGAUGCAGCCAUGCCGCGUGUAUGAAGAAGGCCUUCGGGUUGUAAAGUACUUUCAGCGGGGAGGCGUUACCCGCAGAAGAAGCACCGGCUAACUCCGUGCCAGCAGCCGCGGUAAUAC